UCUCUUCAUAAAUGGUAAAUAGUGAUGAUUCCCAUAAAUCAUUUACCACAAAAUAUUAUUUUGGACUCUAAGGCCACUCAACAUCAAAACCAACAUAUCCAAAUGACAAGAUAAAAGAGAGCACACCAAUAUCUCUCAACAUCAAAACAAAUACAAAUAAUCCCAUAAAUCCAAGUGUUACAUGACCAGAGCAAUAUAGACUACCUAGUCAAAACACAACAAGAA
rnacentral:lncRNA from 1 species